AUUUAAAUAGUUUAAUAAAAAUACUAGUUUGUGGAACUGGAGAUAUAAAUAAUUAUUUUAAAUA
rnacentral:tRNA from 1 species